AACAGUAGUCACUUAAAGAUUGUGGUUUGGAACAGGUCACUUUGUAUAACUUUGAUAUGACUGUAUCACCAUUAUACACCAUAUGCACAUAAAGGUAUUUUGAUUUUGUAAAGCACCUUUAUCCAAACAAUGUGUUGAGGGACAUAAUA